CCAGAGGCGUAGCCGAUGGUCAACGGGUUGAAAGUCCCGUCCCGUCUUGCAGUGUUGAACCACAGAGGGACACUGGAACGAAGGAGGAGCGGCUUUGUGGAUGGCCGUCUAACUGUGUAGGGGCAACCCGAGACAGGAAUGCGAGGACUGCGGGGCAACCCAACGUUCAAGUCUUCUGGAGUCGACAGGCGAGAAAAGCUCUGUGCGGAACUGCAAGAUGUCCGUACCGGAAACCGACACAGGUGGGUGAGGCGAGCAGCCUCAGGUGAACGAGUGAAACGUGGUCAAGGAACUCGGCAUAAUGAUCCCGUAACUUCGGAAGAAGGGAUGCCAGAGACGGUGUAGGGAACACCGAAGCUGUUUCUGGUCGCAGCGAAUCGGCCCAAGCGACUGUUUAGCAAAAACACAGGUGUGUGCCAAGCCGCACAAGGCGCCGUAUACACACUGACGCCUGCCCGGUGCCGGAAGGUUAAGGGGAGAGGUUAGCCGCAAGGCGAAGCUUUGAGCCGAAGCCCCGGUAAACGGCGGCCGUAACAAUAACGGUCCUAAGGUAGCGAAAUUCCUUGUCGGGUAAGUUCCGACCUGCACGAAUGGCGUAACGACUUGGGCACUGUCUCGACCACGUGCUCGGCGAAAUUGCAGUCUCGGUGAGGAUUCCGAGUCCCCGCGACAGGACAAAAAGACCCCAUGCACCUUUACUGUAGCUUGUCAUUGGUCGUUGCACAUCGCUGUGUAGCAUAGGUGGGAGUCGAUGAGCCCGGGGCGCUAGCUCCGGGGGAGACAUCAGUGAAAUACCACCCUGCGUCGUGCGACGCCCUCACCACGGCGGGAACACCCCGUCUGGGACCGUGGCAGGUGGGCAGUUUGACUGGGGCGGUCGCCUCCGAAACAGUAACGGAGGCGCGCGCAAGGUUGGCUCAGCGCGGACGGUACUCGCGCUUCUAGAGUGUAACGGCAGAAGCCAGCCUGACGGUGAGAUCGACGGAUCGAGCCGCCACGAAAGUGGGCCGUAGUGAUCCGGUAGCCCGGGGUGGAGCGGCUAUCGCGCAACGGAUAAAAGGUACGCUGGGGAUAACAGGCUUAUCGCGCCCGAGAGUUCACAUCGACGGCGCGGUUUGGCACCUCGAUGUCGGCUUAUCACAUCCUGGGGCUGGAGAAGGUCCCAAGGGUCCGGCUGUUCGCCGGUUAAAGUGGUACAUGAGCUGGGUUCAGAACGUCGUGAGACAGUUCGGUCUGUAUCCGUCGUGGGCGUUGGAGAGUUGAGGGGAGCGGACUCUAGUACGAGAGGACCGAGUCGGACGACCCGCUCGUGUCCCGGUUGUCCUGCCAAGGGCACCGCCGGUAGCGAUGGUUGGCUGUGAUAACCGCUGAAAGCAUCUAAGUGGGAAGCACGCCCCAAGAUGAACUCUCCCGAGGCCUUGAACCUCUUGAAGGGCCGGGGAAGACCACCCCGUCGAUAGGCCGCCCGUGGACGUCCCGCAAGGGAUUCCAAGCGCAGCGGUCCUAAUCGCCCGUACGGCUUGACUAC
rnacentral:rRNA from 1 species